rnacentral:rRNA from 1 species
AGAGUUUGAUCCUGGCUCAGAACGAACGCUGGCGGCAGGCCUAACACAUGCAAGUCGAGCGCGCCUUCGGGUGAGCGGCGGACGGGUUAGUAACGCGUGGGAGCGUGCCCUUUUCUACGGAAUAGCCUCUGGAAACGGAGAGUAAUACCGUAUACGCCCUUUGGGGGAAAGAUUUAUCGGAGAAGGAUCGGCCCGCGUUAGAUUAGGUAGUUGGUGGGGUAACGGCCUACCAAGCCUACGAUCUAUAGCUGGUUUUAGAGGAUGAUCAGCAACACUGGGACUGAGACACGGCCCAGACUCCUACGGGAGGCAGCAGUGGGGAAUCUUGGACAAUGGGCGAAAGCCUGAUCCAGCCAUGCCGCGUGAGCGAUGAAGGCCCUAGGGUUGUAAAGCUCUUUCGCCAGGGAAGAUAAUGACGGUACCUGGUAAAGAAACCCCGGCUAACUCCGUGCCAGCAGCCGCGGUAAUACGGAGGGGGUUAGCGUUGUUCGGAAUUACUGGGCGUAAAGCGCACGUAGGCGGAUUAGUCAGUCAGGGGUGAAAUCCCAGAGCUUAACUCUGGAACUGCCAUUAAAACUUUUCAGCUAGAGUAUGAUAGAGGAAAGCAGAAUUUCUAGUGUAGAGGUGAAAUUCGUAGAUAUUAGAAAGAAUACCAAUUGCGAAGGCAGCUUUCUGGAUCAUUACUGACACUGAGGAACGAAAGCAUGGGUAGCGAAGAGGAUUAGAUACCCUCGUAGUCCAUGCCGUAAACGAUGUGUGUUAGACGUGGAAAUUUAUUUUCAGUGUCGCAGCGAAAGCGAUAAACACACCGCCUGGGGAGUACGACCGCAAGGUUAAAACUCAAAUGAAUUGACGGGGACCCGCACAAGUAGUGGAGCAUGUGGUUUAAUUCGAAGAUACGCGCAGAACCUUACCAACACUUGACAUGUUCGUCGCGACUCUAAGAGAUUAGAGUUUUCGUUCGGCCGGACGAAACACAGGUGCUGCAUGGCUGUCGUCAGCUCGUGUCGUGAGAUGUUGGGUUAAGUCCCGCAACGAGCGCAACCCUCACUUUUAGUUGCCAUCAUUAAGUUGGGCACUCUGAAAGAACUGCCAGUGAUAAGCUGGAGGAAGGUGGGGAUGACGUCAAGUCCUCAUGGCCCUUACGUGUUGGGCUACACACGUGCUACAAUGGUAUCUACAACAGGAAGCAAGACUGCGAGGUCAAGCAAAUCCUUAAAAGAUACCUCAGUUCGGAUUGCACUCUGCAACUCGAGUGCAUGAAGCUGGAAUUACUAAUAAUCGUGGAUCAGCGUGCCACGGUGAAUGCGUUCCCGGGUCUUUGUACACACCGCCCGUCACACCAUGGGAGUUGGUUCUACCUUAAGGCAAGGUUUAAAACCCUUGACCACGGUAUAGUCAGCGACUGGGUGAAGUCGUAACAAGGUAGCC